rnacentral:piRNA from 1 species
UCAUUGACGUGUUUCACUUCGGGCGGA